GAUGAACGCUGGCGGCGUGCCUAAUACAUGCAAGUCGAACGAAACUUCUUUAUCACCGAGUGCUUGCACUCACCGAUACAGAGUUGAGUGGCGAACGGGUGAGUAACACGUGGGCAACCUGCCCAAAAGAGGGGGAUAACACUUGGAAACAGGUGCUAAUACUGCAUAACCAUAGUUACCGCAUGGUAACUAUGUAAAAGGUGGCUAUACUACCGCUUUUGGAUGGGCCCGCGGCGCAUUAGCUAGUUGGUAGGGUAAAGGCUUACCAAGGCAAUGAUGCGUAGCCGAAUUGAGAGGUUGAUCGGCCACAUUGGGACUGAGACACGGCCCAAACUCCUACGGGAGGCAGCAGUAGGGAAUCUUCCACAAUGGGCGAAAGCCUGAUGGAGCAACGCCGCGUGGGUGAAGAAGGUCUUCGGAUCGUAAAACCCUGUUGUUAGAGAAGAAAGUGCGUGAGAGUAACUGUUCACGUUUCGACGGUAUCUAACCAGAAAGCCACGGCUAACUACGUG
rnacentral:rRNA from 1 species